UUUUACCAGUGGGGUGUUUUGUUUGUUUUAAGCCUUUAGGCGAGGUGAAUUUAUUCAAGGAAGUUCACAUGUCGGUUUUGUUCUUUUAGAGGGGAGUCUUUUUGACCACAAAGAAAAAAGUCUUCCAUAAAUGUCAUCUGACUAAAGGCAAUCUAUGGACUUUAGGAAGUCAGUUGAGGACACAGAUUAAUGAGCCAACACUGAGCCUCCUCCCUUCUGACCUCUCAGCACCUGCUCAACUAAGCUCAGGGAAAACUCUCGAGUCUUCUUUUUAAAUUGGGAUCGCUUGCCCCUUCUCUCUCAAACAAAUCAACUCCACCACCAAAUUACAGGCAAACAACGAGUAUCCAGGAGCAUAAACUAUUUCCCAACAAACAGCGCCAGGGCAGGGGGCAAAAGAGAGCGACCAAAUGGGGGAACCCUCAGGGGAGUUGCGCUCACCUGGAGCGAGACGCCAGCGUGGGAAAGCGGAACCCCUUUCCCGCCCGGCCCGGAGGACUCACGCUCAGGUGCAGCGCGGAGACUGCCGGGGAGAGAGAGGAGACCGCCUCGGCGCGGCCGCCCACUCCUCUUGCCCCAAAAGACCCCAGCACACAGGAGAGGUCCUCUCCGCGUAGGGCUCCCUCUCUCCCGGAGGCAGGGAGCAGAGCGAAGCCGCCACUCGUCUCUCCAGCCGCGCAGCCGGCCCGCAGCUACCUCACAGGUGUCUUCUGGGCUGAUUCCCUGAAAAACAACCAAAAUUUAAAGAAGAUCCCUCAUUGACAUUGACAUUUAGCUAUAUGCUCCGUGUGGCCACCUUGGUAAGAGUUUGCUUUUCUCUGAGUCUUGAGAAAAUUUUUAGGAUUAAUGGAAGACAGUAUUAUCCAGCACUAAAGUUCUUUUCCAAUUUAGUAUUUGAAAAAUACUUUAUGAUAAUGAAAAUCCUCUAUUUAAAGACACUGAUUUAUUAAACAUUGAAUUUAUGUCUAUUAAUUAAACAUUGAAUGCCUACAACACAUUUUAAAAAGCACUGAGUACCUGACAGAGGUGAGGGAGAAUGCCAAGAUAAAUAUAGUAAUUUCUCUUCUUAAAGAUACUGUACUCUGAUGGAGAAGGCAUACCCAGAGAGAACACAGCCUCCUACAGUGGAGUUGAGGUUGGUGCAGGACCAAGGGAGAAUCAUACUAAGCAGAGGUAUGAGGAAGUUCACCUUCAGGGUUCUAAAUUAAAAUGUUUCUUUAGUGGUAUACCCUUUUUUUUUUUUUAACUUUUUUUUUGAAACAGAGUCUUGUUCUGUCAUCCAGGCUAGUGUGUACUGGUGCAAUCAUGGCUCACUGUAGCCUCAACUUCCCGAGCUCCAGUGAUGCUCUCACUUCAACCUCCCAAGUAGCUGGGAUCACAGACACUUGCCACCACACUUGGUUAAUUUUUGCAUUUUUGGUAGAGGCAGGGUUUCACCAUGUUAGCCAGGAUGGUCUCGAACUCCUAAGCCCAAGCAAUCCACCUGCCUCGGCCUCCCAAAGUGCUAGGAUUAUAGGUGUGAGCCACCAUGCCCGGCCAUGGUAUGUUUAAAUUUUGCCUCAGCAUCAUGGUUCAAGUUUGUUCUAAUGAAGUGUCAGAUCAGAAAAUAAAGAAGCAAAGUCUAUGAAUCAAGGCCACCCAUAAUUUUGCAUUCUCAGGAAGUUGGCCAGAAUACCCCUAUUUCAGCUGUAUAUGAUUGAGCAUGUUACUGUUGAUGAGGAAUUUUUAGUUAUUUGUUUUUGGUUAAACAGUUCGUCAUGUUUUUCUGACAUGUUGUGGAGACUUGAAAUGAGUUUACUUUGGGCCUGGGACAAAUUCUGACAAUAACCUUGGAGAAUGAGCUCAAUGGUGAGACUUCGAAGACAGGGUGAGUUGGAUAUUACUGAUGUGUUCAGAUUAAGGUAGCUUGAUCUAGAAAUUCAAACUGCAAUUGUUCAAGACUAGCUGAACAAGAACACAGACUGCAAGAACACAGAGUAACCAGUUGUGACCAUUUCACAUUGGGACUGUGAUUGGGGAUCAAUUAACACAAAAUUGAUCACUGCCCACUGUGCUGACUGCUCACUCUGCCUGAACUGUACUAUGCCCUUCCUUAUGAAGUGCUGUGAAGGUGACCUUCCAGACCUUCUCCUAGGAAAAACACCAAUUCCUACAGCGGGUGCCUGACAUCCUCAGUUGAUCUGUCUUCUGGGAAGUUGUCCAAAAAUUUCUUUGAAAAUUUCCCAUGCUUCCCAUUUAAAGAAAGGAUAUAUGCUGUCAUCUGGGUCACAUAUGGGAAUCCACUAUAGAGCAGCCAGGCAGUUACUGACUCUUGUCCUUUUCCUAUCUGUAAAAAGGAAAUGACUUCCAAGAAAAUAUUUGUCAUAAACCCAGGCUGAAAGUCCACAAUUAAAGCAGAACUGGUGCUCCUCUGCUGCUGCGAGGUGGUCUAAAAAAAGCCCUGAUGAGUUCUGCUAGUGACUGAGAUAUUUGCUGGGAUCCCUGGGAGGAUUCAAUCUGUGUUCCCUGAUCUCUGUUGAAAUCUGGGCAAGAGGUUUCCUGGUGCUGUGAAAGCAGCUGACUUCUGAAGUUCCUCAUACUGAAUUCUUCCAUUUCUUGGGUUUGGAGUAACUCAGAUCUAACACCAGCUAGAUCUUGAUUUCUCCCUUUUUUUUCUCAGCAGCUGUAGAGUUUUCCUUUUCUGUUCUCAGCCUAAUAAAAAGCCAUCUGUUAAUUAUAA